rnacentral:rRNA from 1 species
AAACGAUUGAAGUCAGUCGCGUCGGCCGAGACUCAACCUUACUUUUGUACGGUGUACUUCUCGGUUGAUGGGUCAACAUCAAUUUCGAUCGCCGGAUAAAGGCUUUGGGAAUGUGGCAUCUCUCGGGAUGUGUUAUAGCUUUUUACCGUAUACAGUGGUUGGGACUGAGGAACUCAGCACGCCGCAAGGCCGGGUUUUUAACCACGUUCGUGCUUAGGAUGCUGGCAUAAUGGCUUUAAUCGA